GAUCUUUUAGUAUAUUUGAGUAUGUUCGAUUUCCAAUCGGGUGGAUAUGGGAUUA
rnacentral:tRNA from 1 species